GCCGCAGCCCUCGUCAUUCUCUCUCUACCUCUUUUCAUCUCUCUAAAAAAAGUCACCACCACCGACGACUCUAUUCCAGCCACCAGCACUAUCGGAGCUGCCUCUUUCUCUCUUAUCCUGCACCAACAACCGUAGCCCAGCCAACUCUAGUUGUUGUCCUAUCAUUUUGGCCGACGAAACCACCCUCAUCGGCGGACGCCAACCAUGGACGGUGAAUAUAUAACCAACACCGUCACGUAUCCACACUUUUCUUUCCCCCACCAGUGAGCUGCCUCCAAAACCACCACUGCCUUCAGCCGAUAACACCAUUCAACAAUCGGUGAACCCCGUUGCUACCGACAGUGGACAACAACAGCCGCACCAGCAAUCCGACGUGUCUACACCCUUACCUUCUCCUCCGGUGAACCCCAUGCAACUGCAUUUUAGAUCAACAACAAUCAAUAACAGCCACUUCUGCUGGUGAAAUAACCACCACAACAGCCUAUGCCGGUUGCUACUUCUGUUUUCGAACAAAUGCCAUCGAAAACUUUCAAAUACAUGAAGGAUUUACGGAAUCCAUCUCGAGUUUGUUUUCUCGUUUAAAUUCUUAUCUUAAUGUCCUUAUCUUUUUCCACCCUUUCACUUUCUUAGACUGAUUCUUAGAUUCAAAAGUGGUAAUGCUUGAUGCUGAAUUUUGGUUUAGUUAGUGUAAUUGCAUAAUUUUUAUUCUGUUUUUGAAUCUUAGCUGUGCUUUUACUUACAGUUUUAGAUUAAGUUGUAGGUUGAGACUUGGUUAUUAUCCGUUUUUUCUAAUCUGAAUUGUUAUAAUUACGUGGAUGUGAACUGUUUUCUCUUGGGUUGGUGUGGUGCAAAACUGUUUUCUUUUGGGUUGGUUGCUACAAUGGUCCUAGGGAUGAACUUACUAAGUACUUUGAUUAUUCUGUAUAUGGAAGAAAUAUCCAAAGAAGUGAUACAGAUGCAUGAUUACUAUGUGCUUUUCUUUAAUGUUUAGCUAGGCACAUUAUCCAUUUUCUACAUAGGUAUAUAUUUUCAAAAUCUUGAAGCUUAGAACUUCAGUCAUUUUCUCUUUAGUGUAUAUCAAGUCAUAUGUUGAUCUGAUAUCAUAUAACUCCUUAAAAGAGUUUAGGUCAUUUAUUCCAACGACAUAUUAACGGAAUUUAUCUUUAAAAAGAAAACUUUUUUCAUCAUUUCUCAGUAUGAGACCUAUUUAACUUACCACUUUAGAAAUAAAUUCUUUGAGAUAAGAGCUUUUUAAGUGUAUGGUACUAUUAUUUUCAAUUAGAAGUGUUACCUUCUGCAGACCCCACAAAAUUUACUUGGUUUAUUCAUAUUGUUGAUCAUCUUUCAUUUGAUUGUCAAGAUAUCAUGGUGUGGGCUUAGCAAUUAGAAACUUAUGGUUCACAUUGCAGUGCUCCAACUACAUGAUUUUGGUAAUGAAUCCAAGAUGCUUCCUCUACAGAGACAAGUAUUUAGAUGUCCUAUAGCUGUGAUAAUGUCGUCUGAUUGGUUAUAGUUAUCUAGUUAUGUGCAGUAGCUUUCUUGCUUCUAUUAUAUCUCAGUUGGUUGACAAGCAAUUUUGAUCUCAAAAGACUGCUUAAUUUCCUUUAUACUGGCAAAUUCUCGACGUAUAUUGAACAACUAUAUGAUAGAACAUCUUAUAGAUAACAAGGUCAAGUAUCUAUGUGCUUUAGGUUUUUGACUCAUUUGUUAUAUGUUGCUUUACAACUUGAAUCUUCUUACUUCUUUUUAUCCAAGGAAGUAUCUUUGUAGUUCAGUUAAAAUACAUGAAUCUUUCCAAGUAGUAUAGCUACUUCAACUCCUGCAUGAUGGGAGCUAUUAUCUACGUUGCUCGGACUCUUUAUUUUAGAUGCCACAUCCAUAUCGACACGACAUGGGUAUGAUUAUGUGAUCCUUACCCAAUGAGCAUGACCAAAAUUCACAGAGAAACUCAAGAGUGAUCCAAUGGUUUUUGUAAUGAAAACAAAAGCUAAUGGAAAAUUAAAUAAAAUAGUAUACCUUGUAUAUAGAAAUCUCUGUCACUUCUGUCCUAUUAUCUCUUUUCAGAAUUCUCCUCUUGGUCAAUAUUUCUCCUCAAGUUUUCCGUAUAGUAUCUCAAAAUUGUUAUUUAAUUCUUUUUUAGCUGAAUUUUCACAACCAUAUCUAUAACUUUUUGAAUCUUAAAAUUUAGAUCACGAAGGAUCCGACCUCUAGAUCUGCUCCCGCACCCGAUUCUGAGUAACUUAGGCUAUUACUAUUCCACUUUGAUAAAUGUAUUAACUUAUCUUAAGGCUUUCACAAUUUUUAAGAUGCAAUUGGAAAAUACAUUAUUGAUGUUACAUCGAUUGCAAGAAAGGCGAGCUAGUGUUUGUUUUUUCUUGUUUUUUUCUCUUAACAUUGCAAUUGACAAAGCAUAAAAUCAAUGCAAGUAGUGGACGAGGUUAUAAAUAUUUUUAUGUGCUUUCUAUAGGAUCAUCAUUUCUCAUUAACUUGUAUAUGAAAUGAAUACAAAUUAGCUAGAUUCAAUGUUGCAACUUGCUUCUUAUUACUCAGAUCAUUAAUUUGUUUAUUUAAUUAGUAUUAACCUAUUAUGUUGGUUACUACAAUUGGUUCAUUAAUAAGGCACUCAAAUGUAGAGAAGAUUAUUGAUUCUGAUGAAUUUGUUACAAAUUUUUGGUAAUCGAGCAGAUUAUUCAGGAGUAUGAACUAUACAAUAUAAUUUGUUCAGGUACACUUAAUUCAAAAUUUGAUUAUGACUUAUUUUUACAAUAAUUUUGUUGCUCAUGAAAUACCAGUUAUACAUAAGUAGAUGACUGAGAAGGGAGUUAUACAUAAGUAGAUGACUGAGAAGGGAGAUAUAUAAAAUUCUGUUACAUUAGAAUUUGAUGAUGCUGUGAUAAUAUGUUUAACUAAUAACUUAGUAACUUUUGUUCUACUUCAUGUGCAUGAAAGUUGUGUGUUUCCCUUCUUUUUCAUCUCUCUUAUGUGAAAGAAUAUAUGUGAUAAUGUCAUUGUUAAAAUUUAUAUUUUGAUUAGUUUCUGGCACUUUGAUCUCUAGAAUUCAUGUCACAAAUUCUAUAUUAUUGAAAAUGUAAUAAGUUAUUUUUAAAAAUGUCCUAAUUCUAAAACAGAGUAGAUAUUUUAUGAGUACAAUAUAAUGAUGUUUGUUUGUACUAUAUUCCGUGAUUGAUAAAGAGGAUUUUGAUUUUUGGGUUGUGCAUAUGUCUACCCUCUCUAUGCAUUGUUCAAGUAUAAAUAUUGUUCUAAAAGAAUUCUUGGCAUAAUAUCAAUUUUUCUAAGUGGAGUUUCUUUCAAGUAAGUCAUAUUCUAUCUUAAUAUUCAAGUACUUAAAUGUCCUUCUAGUCAGCAAGAUAAGAAUUGAUAGUAACGAUUAUUAAAUUUCCUUCAUUAAAUAGCCUUUUUAGCAGCUACAUAAACUGAUUCUAAUCUUUGACAGUUACAAGAAUUUCUAUAUUAUUCAACUCUACAUGUCUCAUGAAUUUCUUGUCAAUAUUCACUGUUCAUUAUAGGUGUUUUUUGUUGAAUUUGAUUGUUUUGAUAAUUCUAAUUAAUUUCUUUUUUACAUUUUGGGGCUUUGCUAUUUUUUCUUACAAUGAAGGAUACGAUUUCAAUAACAGGAAGUGAAGUUAGUCACAGAUCUACUAAGAGGAGUUUGAAGGAAAGGGAAUAGUUAGUCACAGACAUUUUAUGUUACUUUUAUUGGAUCAUGUAUAUAUAUACAAAAAU
rnacentral:lncRNA from 1 species